GACGAACGCUGGCGGCGUGCUUAACACAUGCAAGUCGAACGGAAAGGCCCUGCUUUUGUGGGGUGCUCGAUUGGCGAACGGGUGAGUAACACGUGAGUAACCUGCCCUUGACUUUGGGGUAACUUCAGGAAACUGGGGCUAAUACCGGAUAUGAGCUUCUGAUGCAUGGGGGGGGUUGGAAAGUUGCGGCGGUUGGGGAUGGACUCGCGGCUUAUGAGCUUGUUGGGGGGGUUGUGGAUUACCAAGGCUUUGAAGGGUAGCCGGCCUGAGAGGGUGACCGGCCACAUUGGUACUGAGAUACGGCCCAGACGCCUACGGGAGGCAGCAGUGGGGAAUAUUGCACAAUGGGCGGAAGCCUGAUGCAGCAACGCCGCGUGCGGGAUGACGGCCUUCGGGUUGUAAACCGCUUUCGCCUGUGACGAAGCGUGAGUGACGGUAAUGGGUAAAGAAGCACCGGCUAACUACGUG
rnacentral:rRNA from 1 species